AAAUUAUUUUAAAGUUCAAAUAGGCCCUUAUAUGUUAUUAUUUGAAUUUAUCUGACUAGGUGCGGCGCGACUAGGAUAUGAAUUUUAAUUGUAUUACUCAAGUUAGCAUUCAAGUUGAAGUUCAAGUUCAAGUUAAAUUUCCAGGUGUGGGAUUUAUUUCAGUACAUGCACGUGGUUAAUAUUGUCAUUUAAUAUUAUGUGUUUACCGUAUGUGUUGUAAAAAUAUUUAUCGCUAGGGGCCAGCAUAAUUGGUCCAGGACUUCACCGUCCUUGGUAUGCCACAAUGCGAUUUCAUGUUACAGGGUUGCAACCAUUAUAUUGUCGCCAGGGGCCCACAUAUAGGGUCCGGGACAUUAAAGUCCUUGGAGUUGCCACAGUGCGUAUGGAAGUUAUGUUACGUUAUGACAAUAUGUGUUACCAUUUUAUUAACAUGGACAAUUAUUGCAUGUUCCCACACUGAGUGUACCCUGUAUGCUCAUCCCAUAUUCAACAGUUCAGGUGAUUGAUAUCGGAGGCGCGUGGAGAGUCGAAUGGGCGCGUCGCAUCUAUUUAAAAAUAAAUGUUUCUUAAAACAUAUUAUGUUAUUUCAUGUGAUAUCUUUUGGUUAUGUAAACUCUGAAAUUCUAUACUAUUUGAGAUUUGUGUGUGAUUUAUUUAAAUAAAUGUUGUUAUAUUAUUUUAAUGUCAU
rnacentral:lncRNA from 1 species